rnacentral:rRNA from 1 species
CAGAAGCCGCGGUAAUACGAACCGUGCGAACGUUGUUCGGAAUUACUGGGCGUAAAGCGUGCGCAGGCGGUUUGUUAAGACAGAUGUGAAAUCCCCGGGCUCAACCUGGGAACUGCAUUUGUGACUGGCAAGCUAGAGUAUGGCAGAGGGGGGUGGAAUUCCGCGUGUAGCAGUGAAAUGCGUAGAUAUGCGGAGGAACACCGAUGGCGAAGGCAGCCCCCUGGGCCAAUACUGACGCUCAUGCACGAAAGCGUGGGGAGCAAACAGGAUUAGAUACCCCGGUAGUCCCUGUCUCUUAUAC